rnacentral:lncRNA from 1 species
ACAAGCGCUCUGCUCUGGGAAUAUAUCACAGAUUCCACUAGCGACUGUGCUAAGGAAAGAUAUCAACAACCCUACUUGCGACAAUGCUGGGGAGGCGAUAAAGUACCGGGAUAUCAAUCCACCAACCACUGAAUCUUCAAAAAGGAAAGCCACCAUGCUGAGGAGAGAAACAACAACUCUGCUAGCGACUGCACUGGGGAGAAACGGAGCACCUGGGUUCAAACCAACGAUUACUGAAUCUUCCAAAAGGAGAAACACCCAUG